rnacentral:rRNA from 1 species
UACGUAGGGUGCGAGCGUUGUCCGGAAUUACUGGGCGUAAAGAGCUCGUAGGUGGUUUGUCGCGUUGUCCGUGAAAACUCACAACUCAAUUGUGGGCGUGCGGGCGAUACGGGCAGACUGGAGUACUGCAGGGGAGACUGGAAUUCCUGGUGUAGCGGUGAAAUGCGCAGAUAUCAGGAGGAACAUCGGUGGCGAAGGCGGGUCUCUGGGCCGAUACUGACGCUGAGGAGCGAAAGCGUGGGGAGCGAACAGG